UACCCAGUUCGGACUGCAGGCUGCAACCCGCCUGCACGAAGCCGGAAUUGCUAGUAAUCGUAGGUCAGCAUACUACGGUGAAUACGUUCCCGGGCCUUGUACACACCGCCCGUCAAACCAUGAGAGUUGGCAACACCCGAAGUCGGUAGUCUAACCGCAAGGAGGACGCCGCCGAAGGUGGGGUUGAUGAUUAGGGUUAAGUCGUAACAAGGUACC
rnacentral:rRNA from 1 species